rnacentral:rRNA from 1 species
UACGUAGGGGGCAAGCGUUGUCCGGAUUUACUGGGCGUAAAGAGCGCGCAGGCGGUCGUUCAAGUCGAGUGUGAAAGCCCCCGGCUCAACUGGGGAGGGUCAUUCGAUACUGAUCGACUUGAAGGCAGGAGAGGGAAGUGGAAUUCCCGGUGUAGUGGUGAAAUGCGUAGAUAUCGGGAGGAACACCAGUGGCGAAGGCGACUUCCUGGCCUGUUCUUGACGCUGAGGCGCGAAAGCUAGGGGAGCAAACGGG